UACAGAGGGCUCGAGCGUUGCGCGGAGUCACUGGGCUUAAAGCGUACGUAGGCGGACAUGAAGGCAUCGUGUGAAAUCCCCCGACUCAACCGGGGAACUGCUCGGUGAACCGCAUGUCUUGAGGGAAGUAAGGGCGGUCGGAACGAUAGGUGGAGCGGUGAAAUGCGUAGAUAUCUAUCGGAACGCCGAAGGUGAAGACAGGCCGCUGGGCUUCUUACUGACGCUGAGGUACGAAAGCGUGGGGAGCGAACGGG
rnacentral:rRNA from 1 species